rnacentral:rRNA from 1 species
UACGUAGGGUGCAAGCGUUGUCCGGAAUUAUUGGGCGUAAAGAGCUCGUAGGUGGCCUGUCGCGUCGGCUGUGAAAACUCGGGGCUCAACUCCGAGCUUGCAGUCGAUACGGGCAGGCUAGAGUUCGGCAGGGGAGACUGGAAUUCCUGGUGUAGCGGUGAAAUGCGUAGAGAGUCAGCAGGAACACCCGUGGCGAAGGCGGCCCCCUGGGCCGUACCUGACGCUGAGGCGCGAAGGCUAGGGGAGCGAACGGG